UUUUGCAGAGAUGAAGGUUUAGCUGAUUAUCGCUUCAGACAUGAACGUAAUGACUAUGAUAGUUGACUAGAUGGUGCUGCCUUUGCUAGUAAUAGGAGUAGGAUUCUAUUAAAUGAUGACUCCCCUUCAUUUAUUUAUCCACCUUCACGUCGCUGCUGUCAUGCUGUAGGGCAUUCAAAUGAAUAUAAGCCCAAGCUUUCGCACUGGUGAAGAUGACUGCGAGUAUGUCGG
rnacentral:misc_RNA from 1 species